CAGCAGUCGCCGCGGUAAUACGGAGGGUGCAAGCGUUAUCCGGAUUUAUUGGGUUUAAAGGGUCCGUAGGCGGAUCUGUAAGUCAGUGGUGAAAUCUCACAGCUUAACUGUGAAACUGCCAUUGAUACUGCAGGUCUUGAGUAAAUUUGAAGUGGCUGGAAUAAGUAGUGUAGCGGUGAAAUACAUAGAUAUUACUUAGAACACCAAUUGCGAAGGCAGGUCACUAAGAUUUAACUGACGCUGAUGGACGAAAGCGUGGGGAGCGAACAGGAUUAGAGACCCCCGUAGUCCCUGUCUCUUAUAA
rnacentral:rRNA from 1 species